rnacentral:rRNA from 1 species
UACGGAGGGUGCGAGCGUUGCUCGGAAUUAUUGGGCGUAAAGCGUACGCAGGCGGCUCAGCAAGUCGAGUGUGAAAUCCCGAGGCUCAACUUCGGACGUGCAUUCGAAACUACUGGGCUUGGAGUGCGGGAGAGGGAAGCGGAAUUCCUGGUGUAGAGGUGAAAUUCGUAGAUAUCAGGAGGAACACCGGUGGCGAAAGCGGCUUCCUGGCCCGACACUGACGCUCAUGUACGAAAGCGUGGGGAGCAAACAGG